GAAAUGUUGUUGCCUAAUUAAAUGAUACACAUUUUGUGUUUUGGUAUCAUUUGUGUCUGUAUCAAUUCAACUCAAGUGAGAAAUCCAAAUAAAAAAAGUUAAAAUAGGAGUAGCCAAGCUACAAUAUUUUUUUUCUUUUGCAAGUGCCUCUUAUUUUUAUUUUGAUGUUACCUGGUCAAAUACAAGCUGCACAGUCAUUGAUGGUUACUUAUUUGCAAUGAAUUUAAAAGAGCUCUACAGCGUCAUCUGUUGGAUUCAAACUACACUUGACCAACGCCUCUCUUUGUAUUAAUUUAUUUUCAGAGCCGAUUAUAUUGGCUGUAUGUGCAUACUAUUGUCCACUAUUUGGGAAGGAAAACGAAUGGUGACGUUUUUAGAUCCAUAGAUCUGUGUUAAAAAUAGAUAAGUGAUAUGGGGAGAAAAAUUGUUACUUCCUGUGCCGUUGGGUUUAAGGGUCACACACACGGUUCUUUCACUGCUGCAUAAAAGAGCACGCACUGCAAUAAUGACUUUAAAAGCAGUUCACGCGACGGGAAACCUCUCGGAUGAAUGAAUGACUUGCUGUUCUCCUUCACGCGGUCACAGCAGGGUUCCGACGAGCCGCACUGAUGUGAACAAUAUGAUGGACUCUAAGCUCGUCACUGCCCAAGGUGGAGAUGUCUGCAGGCCCAGCAGGGGUGAGAUAAGGUUAUCCUUCAGGAAUGCAGAGCUGCUCGUAUGGAAGCUCAUUUAAGAACAGAGGACUGGAUGACUGAGUUCCUCUCUCACUCCGUCAGUGCAGGGCGUCGCAGAUUCUCGAUCCAAAGGGGAUCGCAGGACCACGCACAUGCAGCAGCCAUGUGUCUCUGGUGCCAGAGCCAUAGGAGGCACCUCACCGCCGUUCAGGCAAGUGUCCUCCACCCACCCGAUCGCAGCUCUGAACCUGGGAACACCGGAGAGAAGAAAGGCCGGCCUCUGCAGGCAGAUGGCGCUGUUGCUCCAGAGCGUCUCUGCUUCAGAGUCUUCUGACCGCGCUGUAAUGCAGGGGAAGCUUGUGUUCCACCACAGUGAGGUAUUGCUUCCAGGUCGAUCGCGCACAGCUCCACGUCACUCCGAUGAUAUUGAUCCACGGUAAAAGGACAUAAGACGGGAACGCUUUCUCUCUGUGUGUGUGUGUGUGUGUGUGUGUGUGUGUGUGUGUGUGUGUGUGUGUGUGUGUGUGUGUGUGUGUGUGUGUGUGUGUGUGUGUGUGUGUGUGUGUGUGUGCGAGUGAUGUGUGUGUGCGAGUGAUGUGUGUGUCUGAGAUACAUUGAUGUGUUUUUCAUUUCUGAAUUAUAUUAUCUGGAUACAUUUUGGCUAAAUAUAACAGAAAAAAGACAGCAAACCACAACAGAUUUUUCUGGACCAGAUAUCACCAGUGAUGAGGUUUCCCUCCACACACCAAUGGAGUACUUCUAUAAGUUUGUGUCAGAAGACAUGAUUCAGGAACUGAUGAAAUCCACAAAUGAGUACAACUCUCAGAAGAAUUGCACAUCUGUAAAUACUGAUACAAGUGAUAUUCAGAAAGUGAUUGGCAGGUGUCUGAAGAUGGGCCUAGUGCAGAUGGCUGGAGUCCGUAUGUAUUAGGAGACAGUCACACAGUACCCCCAUGUUUCUGAUCUGAUGUCACGCAACAGAUUCCAAUCUCUGUUGACAUCAUUACAUGUUGUAAACAACUUGAAAGUGUCGGGGACGGAAAAGAAAGACAAACUCCUGGAAACUCAGACCAUGGCUUGAUUCAUUCAGAGAGUAAUGCCUGCAGGUGGUACCGGAAGAGUGCAACUCUGAGGAUAAGAUGGUUCAUUUCAAAGAGAAAUCCAUUCGCUUACAACAUAUACAUGGGAAGUGUGGAUUUGUUGGACUCAUUUGCACCGCUGGGACGUCUACAUCUUCUGGCACGCGAUUAUCCUCGCUGUGACCAAAGCCUGGCUCCUCUACAAGCGGGACUGCAAUGCUCACAAGUUGCCUGUGAAAGACAUAAUGAAGAAGAGACUGUAUCAGGCCCUACUAGCAUCCUCUCUCAUCCUGGUGAACACAACUCUCAGCACACCAAAGACGGGGCAACCAUCUUCAGGCAAUUGGAGCCCAGCAAUACAGAAUGUAACAUCAAGGAGCCCUCUGAAUGCACUGAAGAGACCAUCCCCAGGUGAUGGGGGGUCACUAAACGGGGUCCCAACCAAGAGGCCAUCUGUACAUCCCCCAGCACGCACUGACCUAUUCGCACAUAUGCAAGUGAAAAUCAACAGAGGAUGUGGCAGAUAUUGCACUAAUGGAUUCAAAACCACCAUAUGUAGCAAGUGUCAUGUCCGUCUUUGCUUUUCAGAGGAAAAAACUGUUUCUGGGACUACCAUAGCAAAUAAACAUGGCUGAACUCUGGGAAUGAGACGAUAUUCAGUUUUGUAUUUUUAUUUCAUAUAUUAUUUUUUUAUUCAAAUAUGACUGUUGUGUGAUUUUUAUUCUUGUUGUAUCCUGCUAUGAGUCUAAAUAAGCAGUCAACCCCGCAACUGAUCCACUAGUUGUUCUGUAUAUUUGUAUAGUAGUACAAAUACAGAAAUUCUGCUCCCAGCUAGGGCCAACGUUGCAAAAUUAAUAACAUUUCCUAAAAACGUACUUAUAGCGUAAAUAUAAGAUGAUUUCUUCAUCAGAGGCCUCAUACAACAACAUUUGAAAGGUAAAAAAAAUAUGUGAGCCAAAUGGUUUGGAAAUCUGGACUAUUUCUGUGAUGAACCACCAGGGGGCAACCUAAUACCACAAUGAGUGGGAUCAGCUGAAGACUGACUUUAUGUUCUUACACCGUUGUACUGUAGACCACUUAUAAAAUACAUUCUAUCCAGACAUGAAAUUCCAAUUUUGCCACUUCAGGCAAUUACCACAUUAUAUAACGGCCAAUUGUUGCAUUCAUAAUGAUUUUUCUUCAAAUGUUGUUUGAGACUAAAGGCCUAAAAUAUAGUCAUAACAUUUCCUUAAACUUUGGACCAUGUGUCCGUACCCCUUUUUUAAAAAAAAUGGAUCU